UCAAUCAAAACGGUUAGACAAAAUUGAUUCAAAAAUUAGGUUUUAGGAAGAACGCAUCAUCAGUCGGAAUAACCUCGAUAAAAAAUCAAGGGGUUAAAACCCUAUCAUCCAUAAAAAAGCUUGACUAAAGCUUCAUCUCAUCCGAACAACACAUAAAGUUUAGCUACUCAUGGUUCGGGAAGCAAGAAUGGAAGAAGAAAGGAGAAUAACACAGAAAGACAACAUGUUCCGUUGAGAAUUCUCAAUCCUGUUGUCGAUCUCCGCUCCUUCGCCAAUCGUUGAUGUUCUCUCACUUCAAUCCGUCUCUGGAACUCUUUAUCUCUCACAUAACUCAAAAAUAUGUCUAGAAUGAAUGAUAUGCCGUGUUCCCGGCCGUGUUCCGCCCCUGUAAUUUUCUCAAACAAUUCCAGAGAAGGAAAGCCGUAUUCCUCCCCAAAUUCUUUAGAGUUUUGCCCCGAUCAGCUCCUAUCGCCCGUCUUCGCUCCCGCUUAUCCCCAAACGUCGUACAUUUCCUGAAAAUGCAUCAAAAAUAUCCAAAACAAUGUAAUACGGCCCCGAGGGGCAAGAGAACUAACAUGUGCUAAACAUCCUGAGUUUGAAUAUAUUUUGACACACAAAAAUAUAGUUUCAAACGACAAAAAGUGAGUAAAAAAUACCGCACAUCAAGAGGCCCACGACAACAGUUAGUGUGGCGCUUACAGAGGCCCAACGCGUAACAGAAGUGAAAUAAGCACAAUCGCCAGCAUACAGGCCAUAACUAGUAAUAGCCACAACUCAUAUUAAAAAAUAUAUUAAAUCAGAUACACCAGCAAGGUAACAUAACACGUGUCACAUCAAAUCAUCGAAAUGAUAAAUAAGCAUAUAUAAUCUUAAGAUUAAACAACCAAUACCUUAGUAUGCAUAUGGCCUUAGAUAAUAAUAAACUCAUAAUGGAACAUCUAACCUGGUCGGAUAUGCAGGAGACCCUCACAAGAAAUAACCCUUGAGAAUACCGAUAUAAACUUCAGAAUCAAGACCGUAAUUUCGCAAGACUUAUGUACUACAACUGGGUAUCACUGCUAAGUCCUCCAAGUCUCAUAUAUGCAAUAAGCUACUCUAUGUGUUUUUGACCUUGAACUAAA
rnacentral:lncRNA from 1 species